rnacentral:rRNA from 1 species
AAGACCUCAAAUCAGGUGGGACUACCUGCUGAACUUAAGCAUAUCAAUAAGCAGAGGAAAAGAAACUAACAAGGAUUCCCCCAGUAAUGGCGAAUGAAGAGGGAAAAGCCCAAAUUUGUAAUCUGGCUCUUUCAGAGUCCGAGUUGUAAUUUUAAGAACUGUUUUCAGUGCUGGACCAUAUAUAAGUCUGUUGAAAAGCAGCAUCAUAGAAGGUGAUAAUCCUGUUCAUGAUAUGGACUACCAGUGCAAUAUGAUGCAGUUUCUAAGAGUCGAGUUGUUUGGGAAUGCAGCUCAAAAUGGGUGGUAAAUUCCAUCUAAGGCUAAAUAUUGAUGAGAGACCGAUAGCAAACAAGUACCGUGAGGGAAAGAUGAAAAGAACUUUGAAAAGAGAGUUAACAGUACGUGAAAUUGUUAAAAGGGAAACAAUUGAAGUUAGACUUGUUAUUGUUAGUUCAACCUUUUCUUAAAGGAGUAUUCUAAUGAUUAACAGACCAACAUCAAUUUUUGGGUGUUGGAGAAGGGUUCAAGGAAAUGUAGCAGUCUCUGACUGUGUUAUAGUCCUGAGCUUUGAUAUGAUGCUUAAGAUUGAGGAAUGCAGUGAGCCCCUUAAGGGGUGGGACACAUUAUUGUUCUUCUCACUGAGGAUGUUGGUGCAAUAGCUUUAAAUGACCCGUCUUGAAACACGGACCAAGGAGUCUAACAUGUUUGCGAGUAUUUGGGUGUUUGAAACCCUUGUGCGUAAUGAAAGUAAAUGUAAAUGGGAACUUUUUUAAGUGCACCAUUGACCAGUUCAGAUUAUUUAUAUGAUGGUACUGAGUAAGAGCAAGUAUGUUGGGACCCGAAAGAUGGUGAACUAUGCCUGAAUAGGGUGAAGCCAGAGGAAACUCUGGUGGAAGCUCGUAGCGGUUCUGACGUGCAAAUCGAUCGUCAAAUUUGGGUAUAGGGGCGAAAGACUAAUCGA